CAGCAGCCGCGGGAAUACGUAGGUCCCGAGCGUUGUCCGGAUUUAUCGGGCGUAAAGCGAGCGCAGGCGGUUAGGUAAGUCUGAAGUUAAAGGCUGUGGCUUAACCAUAGUACGCUUUGGAAACUGUUUAACUUGAGUGCAAGAGGGGAGAGUGGAAUUCCAUGUGUAGCGGUGAAAUGCGUAGAUAUAUGGAGGAACACCGGUGGCGAAAGCGGCUCUCUGGCUUGUAACUGACGCUGAGGCUCGAAAGCGUGGGGCGCAAACAGGAUUAGAUACCCCCGUAGUCCCUGUCUCUUAUACA
rnacentral:rRNA from 1 species